CACUUUACGACUAGCUGGAAGUGAUGGCUCGUUCCGGCAGCUGGCUGGGCGCGCUUGUCCCACCGCGACUAAGAAUGAUACCCAGGCUGCUGGGGCGGAGAGGCGAAAGUUUCACCAGCUGCCUUCCUCGUGAGCUGCCAGCUUGGCGAACCCGUUGGUAACACAAGGAAGCUCUUUCUGGAUGUUUGACUGGUCUCCAGUUAAUUCCUGGGCUUCCCUGGUGGCACAGUGGUUAAAAAUCCACCUGCCAAUACAGGGGACACGGGUUCGAGCCCUGGUCCGGGAAGAUCCCACAUGCUGCGGAGCAACUAAGACCAUGCACCACAACUACUGAGCCUGUGCUCUAGAGACUGUGAGCCACAACUACUGAAGCCCGUGCGCCUAGAGCCCGUGCUCUGCAGCAAGAGAAGCCGCCACAAUGAGAAGCCCACGCACCGCAACGAAGAGUAGCCCCAGCUCACUGCAGCUAGAGAAAGCCUGUGCGCAGCAACAGAGACCCAACACAGCCAAAAAUUAAUUAAUUAAUUAAUUAAUUAAAAAAUAGUUAAUUCCUGGCUUCCUCAAGAAAAUGAAACAUGGCACAACAUACUUCUUAUUCUUUGAGCCUGAUAUUAUGCAUAGCAUUCCUCUGUAGAGAAUGUAUAUAAAUUGUUGCCUAUUUUGUAUCAUUUUGAAAGAUUAGCAGGCUCAAUAGGAGCCAUUGUUAGUGAAUUUCCUGUCCUUGUAAGUAGUUUGAGUUGUAACUUAAGUUUUCUCUUUGUAGUGCCAUCCCUACCAUUGUUUUUUUUUUCCUACUCAAUACAGUAUUCCUCAUAUUGUUUGUUGAACAUGCAUCCCUCUACCCCUUCUCUUAAUCUCUUCUCCCACAUUCACAGAGCCCUUGCUUCAUCCAUUAUGCUCUUUCCUAAUUUCACUGCUUGCUUUUUCCCUUCAGCAUAUUAGAGUGUACCCAUCUUAAAAAUAAGCAGAACAACCUUCCUCUAAUUGUUGCCCCAUCUAGCUAUUAUCCAAUACUUCUUCCCUUCACACACCAUGUUUUGAAAAAAUAGCCAGAGGUCAUCUCAAAUUCCUCAUUCCUGCUAUUUUCUUAAUCCAUUUUAUCUGAUUUUUCAUCCCUUCUACAAUGAAACCAUGGUCUUUAAUGACCUGCGUUACCUUCUGCUGCUGGAUCUCUGUAGCUCGGUUGAUCCUUCGUUGGUUUGUGACACCAUUUCUCUUCAAUUUCUAUGUUCUGAUUCCAUCUACUCCUCAAAUGUUGGUGUUCUUGGGAUUCUUAUUUUGAUCUUAUUCUUUCCUUGCUCUACAGACUCCAAUUUGAUGAUCUUAUUCAUUCCUGUAGUUCCAAAAUCAUUGUUAAAGUUAUAACCUUUAACAGUGGUUGUAUUUUCACUUGCAGUAACCUUCCUGAGCUGCCGUCUCAUAUAUUCAGCCAUAUAUCUGCUAUACUUACUUGUUUCACAGUAUCUCAGUAUGUACAGAACUGAACCCUACUCUUCCCACCAUGGAUGCUUUUCUUCCUGGAUUCCCUUUAAUGAAGAGAAGCACCAUCCAGACCAAACCCUGAUGCCUCCCUAAGUGCUUCCCCCCUCAAAAUCAAAUGAGGCUAAGCCAAGUUUACCUGCUUAUUGUCUCUUGAUUCUAAUUCCAUCUUUCUAUCCUAAUUCCAAAGCCUACUGUUUUUGGCCAGAAUUACCUCAUCACUUCUUAAGACUGAUUCCAAUCUCAUCUGAUAUUUAUUCUAUUUAUAACACAGCUUCAAUUUUUUUUUUU